GCUGCGUGUGGUGGCGCAUACCUGUAGUCCCAGGUACUCGGGAGGCUGAGGCAGGAGGAUUGCUUGAGCCCAGGAGUCCUGGGCUAUAGUGCACUAUGCCAGUCUGAUGUCCGCAUAAAGUUUGUCAUCAGUAUGGUGACCUUGACUUCCCUGGAGCAAGGGACCACCAGGUUGCCUAAGGAGGAGUGAACUAGCCCAGGUUGGAAACAGGGUAGGUCAGUACUCUGGUGCUGCUUAGUAGCAGGAUCACACCUGGGAAUAGCCACUGCAGUCUAGCCUGGGCAACAUAGCUAGACCCUGUCUUA
ensembl:misc_RNA Metazoa_SRP Metazoan signal recognition particle RNA